GACGAACGCUGGCGGCGUGCUUAACACAUGCAAGUCGAACGGAAAGGCCCUGCUUUUGUGGGGUGCUCGAGUGGCGAACGGGUGAGUAACACGUGAGUAACCUGCACUUGACUUUGGGGUAAAUUCAGGAAACUGGGGCUCAUACCGGAUAGGAGCUCCUGCUGCAUGGUGGGGGUUGGAAAGUUUCGGCGGUGGGGGAUGGACUCGCGGCUUAUCAGCUUGUUGGUGAGGUAGUGGCGUACCAAGGCUUUGAAGGGUAGCCGGCCUGAGAGGGUGACCGGCCACAUUGGGACUGAGAUACGGCCCAGACUCCUACGUGAGGCAGUAGUGGGGAAUAUUGCACAAUGGCCGGAAGCCUGAUGCAGCAACGCCCCGUGCGGGAUGCCGGCCUUCGGGUUGUAAACCGCUUUCGCCUGUGACGAAGCGUGAGUGACGGUAAUUGGUAAAGAAGCACCGGCUAACUACGUG
rnacentral:rRNA from 1 species